ensembl:lncRNA
CUGUUGGAGGUGCAGAAUGGUAACAUCCAAUGCUGCCAAAGAUUCCCCACUGCCUUGAUUCCACAUUAUUUAUUCUGGGAGAUAGUGUUUUUAGAAUCCGGCCUCUGCACUUUCCCCCCUUAUUUAUCUGCAAUAGUCCACAUUUCAAAGCACCUUAAUUUCAUACAGGUUGGUUCACUUAUCUUCUGUAUCUAUUUGUACAUUCUAGUUUUUGUUUAUGCCUCUCUUUCUUUUUGUUCAAAGUGGCCAAACUUGUCCUUCAUGGCCUAUUCCAGAUAUUCACUGACUGUCAGAGCUAAAAAAGUAUCUCAUUCACAGGAGCAACAGGGCCACAUCUACUAGAUUGUUCUGUGUUACUUUGUUAUGUGCAUACUAUUUGUACUCAACUUAAUGCUUAGCAUCUUAGGUAGAAAUUAUUUAUUAUGCUUUUUUACUCCCUUUCAACACUUGGCUUAGGACUGACCAUGCAGUGAGUAUUUAGUGAAUUUUGUGGUGUGAAUUCUCAGUGCAUGUUUAAUUCCUGCUUACAGGAGCCUCUUCUCUUUAGAGGAACAAGCACAGUUCUGAGAGAUGAAUUUCCAGUUAAGUUGUAAAUGCAGAAGUAUUAUGAACGUUGUUCAGUUUGUGGUUCUUAAUAUGAAAUGUAUCUCAAGUGUUUGCUCAUUAAUGUCACAUUUGUAGUUACAGUGUGUGGAUAUACCCAGUUUUAGUUGUCUAAAACAAACCUCAUGUUGGGACAAUUGUUCUAAAGAUUCAAUGACUAAAGAUUACCAGGAAAGAUAGUCUCUGGUCUACAGAGUCAAAAUAUCCCAUUCAAUAAAUGUUUAUUAAAAUGAGAUAUCAUGUGAGAUGUCACGGAUUUACAAACGUGAAUCAGAUAACAGCAUAACCAUAAAGACCUUAGAAUCCAGUAGAGAAGAUUCUAAUAAGAAAUAAGAAAAAACAAAACACAGCACAAAUAUAAGGCAAACAGUGUCAUUAGAAUGAUGUAUUGUGAAUCUGUGAAGUCCCUCAACUGGGGGGCCCUGGUCAGUUUAUCAGUGAGGAGAUAGCACUUUAGAGCCUCCUGGGUCUUGAAAAAGGGACAGGCUUUUAUAAAAUGAGCAUGAUGGGACUUCCAAGCAAAAGAGAUUUCAUGAAGUCCCAGAAGAGGGAAUCCAAGGGACUUUUCAAAAAUCAUGGGGAUUAGGUUUAUAUCACAGGGUCCAUGGUAAGGUGCAGUGGGAUACACAAAUGAACAUUUAGAUUGAACCAGAUCCUGAAGAAUCUCAGAUGGGAAGUUGAUGAGUUUUCGGUUUAUUUCAUUCUCACCCUUAAGAUACAAUUGAGUUACUGAAUAUUUUCAAAUCAAGGGUAGAUGAUUAGAUCUAAAAAUGCCUUGUCUAAUAUGGAAGCUACUAGACACACAUAGUUACUUGAAAUUAAAUUAAUUAAAAUGAGUUAAAACUCAGUUCCCCAAUUGCAAUAGAUGUAUUCCAAGUGCUCUGUAGCCUGAUGUGGCCUAAUGCCUACCAUAUUGGGCAGUAAAAAACAUGUCUAUCCACUCUGCAAUUUCUCCUGGACACUAUUACACUAGAUUUUAGGCUCUGACACCAGUAUAAAGAAGAAUUUAUGGUGUUUGGGGAGCAGAGAUGGGAAAGAAGCAGUGUAACUGAUAAGAUGUUCUCAAAGUAAUCCAGGUAAAAGGUAACUGGCAGAUGAACUAGAGGAAGGGCAAUGUGGGGAGAGCUGAGAAGACACGGACACAUGUUAGAUCUACACAGAGGAUCCUACUAACUGAUCACCUGUUAGGAGUGAAGCGAGGGAAAUUGAUACUCUAAAACCCCAAGUGACCGGGUAGGCAGUACUGCCAUUUAUUGAAUUAAGGGGAAAAAUAAAAGGAGUUAGUUGACAGAGAUUAUUGAAAUAAUGAGUACGGUCUAGUAAUGCUGGAUUUGAGUUUUCCUGAUUCAGGUAGAUUUCUAAGAGACUGGAAAGAAUAUGUUGGAGUUUGUGAUAGAAGAAUAUAUUUAUACCCAGUAUUUGUUACAUAGAGAUGGUAGUUAAAAAACAUUAUAAAAAGAGAGAGAGAGAAUAGGGUCAAAGAAAACACCCAGAGGUAUUUGAUUAAAGUUUAUUUCCCUUCUGUUCAAUUCUCAAUAAAUUAAUCUAGGUCAAAAUAUCAAGGUUUAUGUAUUGUUUCUGAUUAUUUUAAUAUUAUUGUGGUUUCUUAAGAGUGAGUUUGCAUGCUCAGCAGCUCAAAGGCUAGUUUAUUUCUUCAAGGUACCAUAUGUACAUUUUGCCAAAUAGAGGCACAUGGUUUGAGAUACUGAACUUCUUGUGCCUUUUUUAAGGUUUAUUUAUUUAUUUAUUUGACAGAGAGAGAAAGAGAGAGGGUGAGAGAGCACAAGCAGGGGGAGCAGCAGAAAGAGGGAGAGGGAGAAGCAGGCUCCCUGCAGAACAGGGAUCCCAAUGUGGGGCUCGAUCCCACUACCCUGGGAUCAUGACCUGAGCCAAAGGCAGAUGCUUUGCCAACUGAGCCGCCCAAGCACCCCGAUACUGAAUUUUUUUGUAUAGUACAAAUGACUAAACUUGACCCAGGAAAUGGAGUGGUAUUUUCAGUACAGUCAAUUUUUUUUCGAUUAAAAAUUAAUAAAACUUGAAAUAACAAUACAUAUUAUUCAUUUAUUUCUUUUUUUAAAGAUUUAUUUAUUUGAGAGGGAGAGAGAGAGCGCGCAGGGGGUAGGGGCAAAGGGAGAGGGAGAAAGAGUCUUAAGCAGACUCUGCGCUAAGCAUGGAGCCUAAUGCAGAGCUCAAUCUCACGACUCAGAGAUGACCUGAGUGGAAACCAAGAGUCAGAUGCUUAAUCCAUUGUACCACCCAGGUUCCCCAUUACUCACUGAUUUCUAAUUGCUAAAUUUGUAUCCAUAUAUCCUUAGAUGAGAUGCUUUUAUUCAUUUAAUUAAUUCAGUGGAUAUUUACUGAUUAUUGAUUAUUUACAAGAUGGACAAAUACAGGAGAUACAAGGACUUCUACAAUUCAGACGCUUGCUCACAAGGAUUCACAUUUCAGUGAAAGAACAGAUAGAAACACAAAUAAUCACAACACAGUGUGAUCAGUGCUAGGGAAGUAUCAAAGGAGGAAAGCAUUAAGAUCUAUGUGGGCACAGAGGAAGGAAAAAUUGUCUGAGGCAGUCAGGAAAGGUUCUCAGAGAAAGUGACUUCUGAGGUAUCUGUCAAAGAAUGAGGAGUAGAGCACAUUCAGAGACACCACAUGUGGAAGACCUUGGGUGGCUUACCAUAGUGUAGGAUCCAGAGAAGGUAGAGUCCAGAGAAUCUGAGGCCAGAUUCUGGUCAGCUUUUUAUGCCAUUCUAAAGAGUUUGGGUUAAUUUUGGAGGAAAUAUCAUAAAGGAGUAUGGUUCAAGAUUUAAAGGGAUGAGAUUGGUAUUGUUGAGUUCCAUUUUAGAAAGAUACCCAGCAGCAGUGGGCCAGGUGGAUGCUCAUUGAGAAGUGAUAUUGGAAGAAACACCAGUUAGAAACCUGCUGGUGUAAACCAGACUUGAGGGGGGCUGGUAAGAAAUUGAUUCUAAUGAUAUUUAGG